AUUGAACGCUGGCGGCAGGCCUAACACAUGCAAGUCGAGCGGAUGAAGGGAGCUUGCUCCUGGAUUCAGCGGCGGACGGGUGAGUAAUGCCUAGGAAUCUGCCGGGUAGUGGGGGAUAACGUCCGGAAACGGGCGCUAAUACCGCAUACGUCCUGAGGGAGAAGGUGGGGGAUCUUCGGACCUCACGCUAUCAGAUGAGCCUAGGUCGGAUUAGCUAGUUGGUGGGGUAAAGGCCUACCAAGGCGACGAUCCGUAACUGGUCUGAGAGGAUGAUCAGUCACACUGGAACUGAGACACGGUCCAGACUCCUACGGGAGGCAGCAGUGGGGAAUAUUGGACAAUGGGCGAAAGCCUGAUCCAGCCAUGCCGCGUGUGUGAAGAAGGUCUUCGGAUUGUAAAGCACUUUAAGUUGGGAGGAAGGGCAGUAAGUUAAUACCUUGCUGUUUUGACGUUACCAACAGAAUAAGCACCGGCUAACUUCGUG
rnacentral:rRNA from 1 species